rnacentral:rRNA from 1 species
CACACCGCCCGUCACAUCAUGGGAGCUGGUAACACCUGAAGUCGGUGACCGAACCGCAAGGGAGGAACUGCCUAAGGUGGGACUGGUGACUGGGAUG